rnacentral:misc_RNA from 1 species
UCCGAGUUGACCCCGGCAGUCUCCUAUGAGUCCCCGCCAUAACGCGCUGGCAACAUAGGACGAGGGUUGCGCUCGUUGCGGGACUUAACCCAACAUCUCACGACACGAGCUGACGACAGCCAUGCAGCACCUGUGUGCAGGUUCUCUUUCGAGCACUCCCCGAUCUCUCGGGGAUUCCUGCCAUGUCAAGGGUAGGUAAGGUUUUUCGCGUUGCAUCGAAUUAAUCCACAUCAUCCACCGCUUGUGCGGGUCCCCGUCAAUUCCUUUGAGUUUUAGCCUUGCGGCCGUACUCCCCAGGCGGGGCGCUUAAUGCGUUAGCUGCGGCACGGAACUCGUGGAAUGAGCCCCACACCUAGCGCCCAACGUUUACGGCGUGGACUAC